GUUACAUCUGUCCACACAGAAAAUUGCAUCUCAACAAACCUGUCAUUGGUACCUGAACUACAUUUCAGUCACUCAGUAAAGUGAUAAUUCAAAAUAUCAUUGUCAACAGAUCUGAAGAAAUUGCCAGUCUUUAGACCGUUUUCGUCAGACGAGAGACGCAGUUCUGACUGAUUACUGGUUGCUGUACAUAUCUAUCCACAUCAAGACUGUUGAGAGAGACUCGUGAAGAUUCAAGACAGCUCUUAGAGGAUUUGCAGUUUAAAAGUGAAAUAAUUAU